AUUGAACGCUGGCGGAAUGCUUUACACAUGCAAGUCGAACGGCAGCACGGACUUCGGUCUGGUGGCGAGUGGCGAACGGGUGAGUAACAUAUCGGAACGUAUCCAAUAAUGGGGGAUAACGAGUCGAAAGAUUCGCUAAUACCGCAUACGCCCUACGGGGGAAAGCUGGGGACCUUCGGGCCUGGCGUUAAUGGAGCGGCCGAUAUCUGAUUAGCUAGUUGGUGAGGUAAAGGCUCACCAAGGCGACGAUCAGUAGCUGGUCUGAGAGGACGACCAGCCACACUGGAACUGAGACACGGUCCAGACUCCUACGGGAGGCAGCAGUGGGGAAUUUUGGACAAUGGACGCAAGUCUGAUCCAGCCAUUCCGCGUGCAGGAUGAAGGCCCUCGGGUUGUAAACUGCUUUUGUACAGAACGAAAAGGUUUCUACUAAUACUAGGAGCUCAUGACGGUACUGUAAGAAUAAGCACCGGCUAACUACGUGCCAGCCGCCGCUGUAA
rnacentral:rRNA from 1 species